rnacentral:rRNA from 1 species
AUUGAACGCUGGCGGCAUGCUUUACACAUGCAAGUCGAACGGUAACAGGCCUUCGGGUGCUGACGAGUGGCGAACGGGUGAGUAAUGCAUCGGAAUGUGCCCAAUCGUGGGGGAUAACGUAGCGAAAGUUACGCUAAUACCGCAUAAGCCCUGAGGGGGAAAGUGGGGGACCGCAAGGCCUCACGCGAAUGGAGCGGCCGAUGUCAGAUUAGCUAGUUGGUGGGGUAAAGGCCCACCAAGGCGACGAUCUGUAGCGGGUCUGAGAGGAUGAUCCGCCACACUGGGACUGAGGCACGGCCCAGACUCCUACGGGAGGCAGCAGUGGGGAAUUUUGGACAAUGGGCGCAAGCCUGAUCCAGCCAUGCCGCGUGCGGGACGAAGGCC